rnacentral:misc_RNA from 1 species
AAAAAAAAAAAAAAUUGUUUUAUUUUUUCAUAUAAAAUAAUAAAUUUCAUUCCAAAGAAGAAAGAAAGAAAGAAAGGGGAUAAGCUAUUCCUUGCUGAUUGAUAUAAUUUAUAAGACCUAGAAUAACAAAACUAAGCUAUAUUCUAUAAUCACAUUGACAACACAAUAAGAGCACUGCACUUUAGUUGAUCUCACACAUCUUAAUUGACAACACAAUCUAUGAUCCAUCUGAGACUUCCAGAGCAACCAAAAAACUGCUACAUAAACUUGUUUAUAAGAUUAAAUCUGAACUAAAUUUACAUCUGUACUAUAAAUUGAUAGCCUAUAUCCACCAUUCAUUCAACAUAUAACCAUGAUCUCAAAAUACAUAUUUACUUUUGCUACUUACCCGAUAGAAGACAAAUUAAG